GUAGAGAUAACUAGGAAUACCAAAAGCGAAGGCAAUCUUCUGAAACACUACUGACGCUGAGGCGCGAAAAGCGUGGGGAGCAAACAGGAUUAGAUACCCUGGUAGUCCACGCAGUAAACGAUGAAUGUUAGUCGUCGGGGGCCUAGUGUCUUCGGUGAUGCAGCUAACGCAUUAAACAUUCCGCCUGGGGAGUACGGUCGCAAGAUUAAAACUCAAAGGAAUAGACGGGGACCCGCACAAGUGGUGGAGCAUGUGGUUUAAUUCGAAGAUACGCGAAGAACCUUACCUAGCCUUGACAUAUUUAAGAAUCCGGUAGAGAUACUGGAGUGCCUUCGGGAGCUUUCUUACAGGUGCUGCACGGCUGUCGUCAGCUCGUGUCGUGAGAUGUUGGGUUAAGUCCCGCAACGAGCGCAACCCUCGUCACUAGUUACUAACGGUUCGGCCGAGGACUCUAGUGAGACUGCCUUCGUAAGGAGGAGGAAGGUGAGGACGACGUCAAGUCAUCAUGGCCCUUACGGCUAGGGCAACACACGUGCUACAAUGGUUGGGACAGUGAGACGCGAUACCGUGAGGUGGAGCAAAUCUAUAAACCUGGUCUCAGUUCGGAUUGUAGUCUGCAACUCGACUACAUGAAGCUGGAAUCACUAGUAAUCGUAGAUC
rnacentral:rRNA from 1 species